rnacentral:rRNA from 1 species
AGUGAACGCUGGCGGUAGGCCUAACACAUGCAAGUCGAACGGCAGCACAGUAAGAGCUUGCUCUUUCGGGUGGCGAGUGGCGGACGGGUGAGGAAUACAUCGGAAUCUACUUUUUCGUGGGGGAUAACGUAGGGAAACUUACGCUAAUACCGCAUACGACCUACGGGUGAAAGCAGGGGAUCUUCGGACCUUGCGCGAUUGAAUGAGCCGAUGUCGGAUUAGCUAGUUGGCGGGGUAAAGGCCCACCAAGGCGACGAUCCGUAGCUGGUCUGAGAGGAUGAUCAGCCUCACUGGAACUGAGACACGGUCCAGACUCCUACGGGAGGCAGCAGUGGGGAAUAUUGGACAAUGGGCGCAAGCCUGAUCCAGCCAUACCGCGUGGGUGAAGAAGGCCUUCGGGUUGUAAAGCCCUUUUGUUGGGAAAGAAAAGCAGCAGGUUAAUACCCCGCUGUUCUGACGGUACCCAAAGAAUAAGCACCGGCUAACUUCGUG